UACAGAGGGUGCAAGCGUUAAUCGGAAUUACUGGGCGUAAAGCGUGCGUAGACGGUUAUGUAAGUCAGGUGUGAAAGCCCCGGGCUCAACCUGGGAAUUGCGAUGGAGACUGCAAGGCUUGAAUCUGGCAGAGGGGGGUAGAAUUCCACGUGUAGCAGUGAAAUGCGUAGAGAUGUGGAGGAACACCGAUGGCGAAGGCAGCCCCCUGGGUCAAGAUUGACGCUCAUGCACGAAAGCGUGGGGAGCAAACAGG
rnacentral:rRNA from 1 species